rnacentral:rRNA from 1 species
GAUCCUGGCUCAGGACGAACGCUGGCGGCGCGCCUAACACAUGCAAGUCGAACGAGCGAGAGAAAGCUUGCUUUCUCAAGCGAGUGGCGAACGGGUGAGUAACGCGUGAGGAACCUGCCUCAAAGAGGGGGACAACGAGUUGGAAACGACUGCUAAUACCGCAUAAGCCCACAGGUCGGCAUCGACCAGAGGGAAAAGGAGCAAUCCGCUUUGAGAUGGCCUCGCGUCCGAUUAG